rnacentral:rRNA from 1 species
AACGAACGCUGGCGGCAUGCCUAACACAUGCAAGUCGAACGAGACCUUCGGGUCUAGUGGCGCACGGGUGCGUAACGCGUGGGAACCUGCCCUUAGGUUCGGAAUAACCCCCCGAAAGGGGUGCUAAUACCGGAUAAUGUCUUCGGACCAAAGAUUUAUCGCCUUUGGAUGGGCCCGCGUUGGAUUAGCUAGUUGGUAGGGUAAAAGCCUACCAAGGCGACGAUCCACAGCUGGUCUGAGAGGAUGAUCAGCCACACUGGGACUGAGACACGGCCCAGACUCCUACGGGAGGCAGCAGUGGGGAAUAUUGGACAAUGGGCGAAAGCCUGAUCCAGCAAUGCCGCGUGAGUGAUGAAGGCCUUAGGGUUGUAAAGCUCUUUUACCCGGGAUGAUAAUGACAGUACCGGGAGAAUAAGCUCCGGCUAACUCCGUG